rnacentral:rRNA from 1 species
GUGGAUUAGAUACCCUGGUAGUCCUGGCCGUAAACGAUGGGUACUAGGUGUAGGAGGUAUCGACCCCUUCUGUGCCGGAGUUAACGCAAUAAGUACCCCGCCUGGGGAGUACGACCGCAAGGUUGAAACUCAAAGGAAUUGACGGGGGCCCGCACAAGCGGUGGAGUAUUUGGUUUAAUUCGACGCAACGCGAAGAACCUUACCAGGUCUUGACAUUGAUGGACAGAACUAGAGAUAGUUCCUCUUCUUCGGAAGCCAGAAAACAGGUGGUGCACGGCCGUCGACAACU